AGGUUAAUAUAACUCCAGAUUCUUUCUUUUGGAAAAAAAGAUUCAUGCCUAUCUUACUUACCUGCAAAGCCAUCACAGAUUCUCUCUGCUUUCCUUUAACACCAAACCUUCUGGUCAGCCCUAUUUCCUCACUGAGUAUUCACUUUUCAACCCACUUCUGUCCAGCUCUCCACAUGUCCCAGUUUCUGCCCCUCCUGGUAAUUUCUCUUACACAGAU
rnacentral:lncRNA from 1 species